AACAAACAGGCCCUAAUCUGGGAAGUCCUUAAAAAAAGCUCUACACCUCCAAACCUCUGCAACUAAACCCCCCUGAACACAACAACUGCAGGGACUCUGAAGCCUUCCCCCCUCUGCUCAAAUCUCAGCGCCUCACUGGACAACUCUUGGCGGACAAAAGAAGUGGUGGAGGUGCGGGGGGAAGGGAGGACUUCAGCGCUCGCAUUCAUGGAGCCUCUCGGCCAGCGCAAACAAAGUCUUCCCCCGAAGAGGGAGGCAGUGGACGGCUGAUGAGAGCCAGAACAAACGGCAACACACACAAAAACUGAAAAAAUACCUCCUAAAUGAUUCUCCUGUGGGGAUAAUAAAAAGACAACUCAAAGCCCGCCUUGGGUAAA